rnacentral:misc_RNA from 1 species
GCCAGUUUUCAAAAACCUAUUAAGUGUCUUAAUCUCUAAAAUUGACAAUCUUUAAACUUUCUCAUUAACGAGUUAUACAAAGUGAUAUCUUGCUAAGAAUUUCACAACGCAACCAACUCAUUACAAGAACCGACAGCUUCAGUUCUAUCAUUGACAUGUAAAGGGUGGUCGAGGAUUCUACAAAUGCGAUGCCAAAAGCAACAACAUCGAGGGAAUCAAAAUCGAGGGUAUAGAUAUUCCAAUCUUGGAGAAUGAGGGAGAGAUUGGAUCUGCUAUGGAGGUAAUGGGCGAGAUGAAGGUGGAUUAAAUUUGGGCUAUCAAUUAAUAAGCAUAUAGGUUUGGACAGGCAUCGAAAGCGAAGAACAGUCUUGGCAAAAAGCUGGAGGAGGAUGUCAUUGAUGAUAUCGUGAGGGAUUUUGGCCAUAUUUUCUGUUUGUGAGAGUGUUUGGCUUAAAGGAAAAGCAAAGAGAAAGUAGGAAACAUGGUGGUGGGAAGCAUAAUGGAUAAGGUUUUGAAUGGUGUUGCUUAGAAUGGAGGAAUGGACAAAUGGUGGAACGCAUGUGAAGAUAACACCUUCAGAGAACAGCAUUGGUAAUAGAGGAUGAAGUAGCAGAGGACUUGAUAGGAGCACAUGAGCUUGGAUACAAGGUAAUGGAGGACGCCAAUGGCGACCAUAACCAUCGAUAGAGGAAUCAGUACCUAAUCUCUUAUCGCCGUGUCCAGCACCAUAUCUUUUGCCAUGGCUAGUCCCAGAACUUACAUGGCUCCGGGGUCAUUCGAGUCUAUCCAAUGUCAUUAAGGUGUAAGUAUAUGACCAAAUACCAUGUUCGAUUAUUUUUGGCCAUUUGGCAAUCAAUCGACAUGUCAUCGUGUGUGUUUCUCACAUUUCUUUGCUAAUGCAAUUUUGUAUUUUAUUAUAAUUAAUUUUUU